CACGUAGGUGGCAAGCGUUAUCCGGAAUUAUUGGGCGUAAAGCGCGCGCAGGCGGUCCUUUAAGUCUGAUGUGAAAGCCCUCGGCUCAACCGAGGAGGGUCAUUGGAAACUGGAGGACUUGAGUGCAGAAGAGGAAAGUGGAAUUCCAAGUGUAGCGGUGAAAUGCGUAGAGAUUUGGAGGAACACCAGUGGCGAAGGCGACUUUCUGGUCUGUAACUGACGCUGAGGCGCGAAAGCGUGGGGAGCAAACAGG
rnacentral:rRNA from 1 species